AGUAGGGAAUCUUCCGCAAUGGACGAAAGUCUGACGGAGCAACGCCGCGUGAGCGAUGAAGGCCUUCGGGUCGUAAAGCUCUGUUGUUAGGGAAGAACAAGUACCGUUCGAAUAGGGCGGUACCUUGACGGUACCUAACCAGAAAGCCACGGCUAACUACGUGCCAGCAGCCGCGGUAAUACGUAGGUGGCAAGCGUUGUCCGGAAUUAUUGGGCGUAAAGCGCGCGCAGGCGGUCUUUUAAGUCUGAUGUGAAAGCCCCCGGCUCAACCGGGGAGGGUCAUUGGAAACUGGGAGACUUGAGUGCAGAAGAGAAGAGCGGAAUUCCACGUGUAGCGGUGAAAUGCGUAGAGAUGUGGAGGAACACCAGUGGCGAAGGCGGCUCUUUGGUCUGUAACUGACGCUGAGGCGCGAAAGCGUGGGGAGCAAA
rnacentral:rRNA from 1 species